rnacentral:rRNA from 1 species
AUGACGGCGCAUGACUGCGGCAGCUGUCUCCGCGGCGCGCUGUCACGCCUCUCCGACGAGUUCAACUCCACUGCCGGGAUGCAGGUCCUUCGCCCCAGCUGCAUGCUGCGGUACGCGGGCUCUCCCUUCUUCAACGCGUCCCUCCUGCCCGUGGCCCAUGUCACCGUCCCAGAGGGCGACGGCGCCGCGGCUCCGGAAGGAAGCAUUUCCCUUCCACAGAACAAAGAUCGAGGCAAGGUGAUUGCACUUUCUUGUUCUGCAGGCGGAGCUGCUAUACUCGCACUAAUCCUAGUAGCAUUGUGGUGCAGACGGAGAGGCCGGAAAUCAAAGAUUGCCACGGGGGGUGGUAAGUACAGCUACCAAACUCUGGUGAAUGCCACUGCUAAUUUCUCCGAGGAAAAUCGGUUAGGAUCUGGUGGAUGCGGCGUAGUAUACAAGGGAAUACUGGAGAACAAGAAAGAAAUAGCCAUAAAAAAACUUGCAAGAAAAAAUCUGGAAGAACUGAAAAGGGAGGUUUCUCUGGUUGCCGAGCUUCAGCACGAGAACCUUGUCAAGUUCUUGGGCCAUUGCUUUCAGGACGAUAAGAUGUUUCUUGUAUAUGAAUACCUUAGCAAUAAAAGCCUAAGCAACUAUUUCAAAGGUUCAGCCGAGUACCAAAAACUGGACUGGGCAAAAUGGCUCAACAUCAUCAAAGGGGUUGCACGUGGCCUUACUUAUCUUCACCUUGAUUCUGGGAAGGAUAUUGUUCAUAGGGAUCUCAAGCCAUCUAACGUCCUCCUUGAUUCCAACUUUGCUGCGAAAAUUGCCGACUUCGAUCUUGCAAGAGGGUACAACAGGGAGAGGAGUCAUGAAAGCACUCGUAACAUGGCCGGUACUUAUGGAUACAUAGCUCCAGAGUGCUAUGCGGAAGGGAAAUUCUCCACCAAAUCGGACGUGUAUAGCUUCGGGGUGCUGGUGCUGGAGAUCUUAGUUGGGCAGAGCAUUAAUAGGUUCGAGAACGACAACUGCACCGGUCUCGUGGAACAUGUGUGGCAGCAUUGGAGCGACCUUAGAGUUGGAGACGUGCUGGAGAGGGACCAUCUUGGCCUUGGGAACCAUGAGCAGAUGCAGCAAGCAUCACGGUGCGUGCAGGUCGCGCUCCUCUGCGUUCAGAACGACCGGUCCAGGAGGCCGGCCAUGGACGAGGUCACCUAUUUCCUUAGCAAUGAGAUGCUUGUGCCGGAUCCUUCUGCCCCCGGGUACAUCACGGCGCCGCCCGGCAGCGGGCCGCCUGUGUGUUCGGUGAACGAUGUGACGAUCAGCAUGACGGAGCCCCGAUCCUGA